rnacentral:rRNA from 1 species
AGCACUGUAGGUGUCAGCAGCCGCGGUAAUACAGAGGGUGCAAGCGUUAAUCGGAAUUACUGGGCGUAAAGCGCGCGUAGGUGGUUCGUUAAGUUGGAUGUGAAAGCCCCCGGGCUCAACCUAGGGAACGUAGCAUUCUAAAACUAGUCGAGCUAGAGUAUGGUAGAGGGUGGUGGAAUUUCCUUGUGUAGCGGUGAAAUAGCGUAGAUAUAGGAAGGAACACCAGUGGCGAAGGCGACCACCUGGACUGAUACUGACACUGAGGUGCGAAAGACGUGGGGGAGGCAAACAGGAUUAGAUACCCUCGGUAGUCCACGCCGUAAACGAUGUCAACUAGCCGUUGGGAGCCUUGAGCUCUUAGUGGCGCAGCU